CGAGACGCGUCGCCAAGUCAAGAUACCCCGGAGCUCAGUUCGUUCCUCAGCCUGAGCGGUGCCCACGAUGAUGGAAGACUUUGCAAGACCCCUCCUGGGUCGUUUCGAACCGAGCUGCCCUAGAGCUGUCGGGUAGGUGAGGGGGAGACAGGUGCACGAGCUGACCUCGUAGGUGACCGAAGAAGGGGAGGGAAGCAGGCCCGAUGGAGCCGACCUGUACCCGACGCAACCCGCUGUGGGCCGAAACGGGAGCUAAGCCAGAUGGAACAAACGACCCCCAACCCGAGCCCGGCGGGGCGAACAGGACAUCCCGCGUUGUUCCACCUGCCAAAGAGGGCGAGCGCGCGGGCCGAUCGGAGCAGAGCGAGAGGGCGGGGCCAAGCGGAGCGGAUGGGGCCAAGUGGACGAGCCGAGGGAGUGGGGCGCAGCCGAAAGUAGCCGAGUGAAGCCGAACAGAGACGAGGCGCGGGUCGGGUGGUGCCAAGCGGAAAUGAGUGGGGCCGAGCGGGGCAGGGUGGAGCCGAGCGGAGCCGGGUGGAGCCGAGCGGAGCCGAGCGAGUGAGAAGCCGGAGGCCGAGAGGGCCGGGCCGACUUGAAGAGUUUUGGACAAAGAUGAAGAAACAAAUCUAGAGACUGGAUGACCUUGGAUCUCAGCUGUGAACCAAAGCCGUGGAGAUGAAGGAACUCUGGGAGUGAGUGAGGGAAGAGCAGUUGGUAUACAGACAGGGUGUUCCAGCUGCAAGAGGAGGGGAAUGCAGGAAUUGUCUUUUAAAUUUGUUAUCUGCACCUGAACUACACGUAUUCUUUAUCCUUGUGAAAAAUAAAAAUAAUUGCAGAUUAGGCUGAAAUCCAGCCUUCACAGAGGUAUCUGCUGU
rnacentral:lncRNA from 1 species